rnacentral:sRNA from 1 species
GGUUGAACUCAUUGUUACGUACGCGCAGGCUGUAACG